GUGGGCAUCGUCACCGUGCAGCCCACGAGCGUGCCGGUGGUCGUCGAUUUGCCGGGCCGCACCAAUGCCUAUCUCGUCGCGCAAGUGCGCGCGCGGGUGGACGGCAUCGUGCUGCGCCGUGAAUUCACCGAAGGCUCCGAGGUCAAGGCCGGUCAGCGGCUCUACAAGAUCGA
rnacentral:ncRNA from 1 species